CAAAAACAUGUCUUUUUGAUUAUAAUUUAAAGUCUCACCUGCCCAAUGAGGAGUUAAAUGGCCGCGGUAUUUUGACCGUGCAAAGGUAGCAUAAUCAUUAGUUUUUUAAUUGAAAGCUGGUAUGAAUGGUUGGACGAGAAAAUAACUGUCUCGAUUUAAAUUAAAUUAGAAUUUUAUUUAUGAGUAAAAAAGCUCAUAUGAGUUUAAAAGACGAGAAGACCCUAUAGAAUUUAAUAUAUAUAUAUAUAUAUUAUUUUUAGAAUUAAUAAUAAGUUAUAUAUAAUUAUAUUUUGUUGGGGUGAUAGAAAAAUUAAAUUAACUUUUUUUAUAUAAAAACAUUAAUGUAUGAAAAAGUGAUCCGUUAAUUACGAUUAUAAGAUUAAAUUACCUUAGGGAUAACAGCGUAAUUUUUUUUUAGAGUUCUUAUCGAAAAAAGAGUUUGCGACCUCGAUGUUGGAUUAAAAUUAACUUUUGGUGUGGGGGCU
rnacentral:rRNA from 1 species